rnacentral:rRNA from 1 species
CCCUUAGAUGUUCUGGGCCGCACGCGCGCUACACUGUUUGAUUCAGCGAGUCUUAACCUUGACCGAAAGGUUUGGGUAAUCUUCUAAAGUCAAACGUGAUGGGAAUCGAUCAUUGCAAUUAUUGAUCGUGAACGAGGAAUUCCUAGUAAAUGCAAGUCAUCAGCUUGCGUUGAUUACGUCCCUGCCCUUUGUACACACCGCCCGUCGCUACUACCGAUUGAAUGGUUUAGUGAGAUCUCCGGAUUGGCUCUGUAGGUCCCGCAAGGGAUUUAUUAGUAGCCAAGAAGCUGCUCAAACUUGAUCAUUUAGAGGAAGUAAAAGUCGUAACA